GAUGAACGCUAGCGGGAGGCUUAACACAUGCAAGUCGAGGGGCAGCAUAGGGUAGCAAUACUCUGAUGGCGACCGGCAAACGGGUGAGUAACGCGUAUGCAACCUACCCUGUACAGGGGGAUAACCCGGAGAAAUUCGGACUAAUAUCCCGUAAUAAUAUCCGGAGGCAUCUUUGGAUAUUUAAAGUUCCGACGGUACGGGAUGGGCAUGCGUAACAUUUACUGGUUGGUAAGGUAACGGCUUACCAAGGCUAUGAUGUUUAGGGGUCCUGAGAGGGUGGUCCCCCACACUGGUACUGAGACACGGACCAGACUCCUACGGGAGGCAGCAGUGAGGAAUAUUGGUCAAUGGGCGCAAGCCUGAACCAGCCAUCCCGCGUGCAGGAAGACGGCCCUAUGGGUUGUAAACUGCUUUUCCAGGGAGAGAAACUUACGCACGUGUUGCGUGACUGACGGUACCCUGGGAAUAAGCAUCGGCUAACUCCGUG
rnacentral:rRNA from 1 species